GGCCCCUAGCGGCGGCGGCGGCCCGGUUUCGAUUUAAGCUCGAUUUUGGUCAACGCCGGUUUUCUCCUAGCUCCGGCCACCAAAACUUCCGAUCCUUGGCUCCAUGAACUCCCCUCAACCUGCUGAUCAUCAUACUAGGAGGAUUGCACCUAGAGUGACCGGUUUCACGUUCGUCGGAGCUCGGUAAGUUUUCAAUCCGAAACGAAAAUCUUUCGAUCGGUAUAUCUCGAGCUGUAGUGCAUCGUUUUGAUUGAUUCUUGAACCAGUGAGUUCUCCUUGAUGUUCUUAACAACUCUCUAGAAGGGAUCGAAGCCUGAAAUUGAAGUUUUGACGUCGAAAUCAAGCCUUGCCGGAUUCUGCAAAUUUCGCCGGAUUCUGGAAAUUUUCCGGCCACCUCGACUGUUUUAGGUGAUUGACGGAUCGAUUUGGCGGACAAUUUGUGAAAUUGUUGUUGAGCUGUUAAGAAGAUGCAGCUGGAUUAGAGCGGGUAAUCCUACAGGUCAAGAGAAUCAGGACGGAGAUCGAGCUGCGUAGAGUAGCUGCAAUUGUGUCAAUCUGAAUUGCUUUGUGAGCCGGUGAGGUGUGUUAUGCUCAUUUAGAGCUUUACAAUAUUUCUUGUGAGAGUGAAUUGUAAUAAUUAACUCGAAGUUUACCGAUUUGGAAAUUUUGUGUAAGUGGUGGAG